UGUUGCUACAGUGUUUUCUGGAAUUAUAAAUCUUGUGCAUUUGAUUAAGAGUGAUUGCUUUAAUAUACCGGAAGGGUAUGUUCUCCUCCCAAGGCAAUACUUAAACAAGGGAAAGGAUAUAGUUCACACAAAUCCGCUAUCGCAAAACGUAACUCCGACACUCCAGUCUACAGACGUUACAACAAACAUGGAAAUGAAGAAUUCAACAAUACCUUACGUAAUAAACCAGGCAUCAACGCUUACCAAUGCUACAACGCAAGAAUUGAAAACAUCUACAACAUUCUCUACAGACCUAACACCGAAAUCUACCGUUACCACAACGCAGGCAUCGAGCAAUCUAACAACAGCCUAUGCAACAAUUGCAACCAUCUCGUCUGACUUCACACUAAAGAAAUUGGAGAAGUCAACGACUUCUUUUGUAAGCUCGACUAACAAAUUUACCGAUGGCAUAACGCACGAAAUGAAGACUUCAAAAACAUCUCCCAUAACUUCGGCAUUUGAAUCCACCAAUGCAACAACGUCACUUGAUACGAAAAGUUCAAAAACAUUUUCCAAAAAUAUACUAGAAACUACUACUAAUAGUAUGUUGCCUGGGACGACUGAACAAAUACGUACAGAGUCGAAAGGAUGCCCAGCUGGGUGGUUGAUAUACGGCUCAUCAUGUUAUUUUCUCAGUAUCCAACAAGCAACUUGGUCUGAGGCAUUCUUAUCCUUCCAGGUCGAUUGUACAAGCUUUGGAGGUUAUCUAGUUGAAAUAAACGAUGCGGCUGAAGACCAGUUUUUGAUUGAACAAGUAAAACGUGCGAAAGAAAGCUUUUGGAUCGGAUUAACGGAUAGAGACGAGGAAAAUAAAUGGAUAUGGAUGACGAGUAGGACUGUCGUUACUUCGAACAGUUACACUAACUGGGGUCCUGGACAGCCAAAUAAUUGCUGCACGCACGGAGAAGAUUGUGUUACCAUAGCGAGUCAUCGGAGCUACCUUUGGAAUGAUGAGCCAUGCGAAGGGAGAAACAAGUAUUUUUGCGAGAAGGAACUGGAAUAAUUAGUGACUGCCAUAGAAAUUAUACAGAUUAUUCUUACAUUUAGAUAAAAUAUGUUGAAUGACGUUCCUUGGUAUCUUUAUACGGAGGGGAGCUUUCUGGGGAGUGCGCUUUAUACUGUCUCACAAUUAUGCAGUAGUUUAGUUUAUUCACUAACACUGAAGUUAAAUUGAAAGGGCGCCGGUGCCGAUAGAAAAUUGUGCCCGAGAGGGUUCCCGUGCCGUGUGCAGAGAGUCAAGAGGAAUUCUGUGAGGCAAAAUUGAGCCAACUGAGAGGGAUCCUGUGUGUUUAACGAAAUCGAAAAUAGAACGUUUUUAAGGAAAUAUAUAUGAAAAUAACACCACCUAUUGUGUAUUUACAAAUAAGAUGGGAUCAACGAUUUCACAUCUAAGGUAUUAGAUACUUGCUAUAUUCAAGGAAAGUCGUAUUUAAGUUUCAUAAACAUCGCACGAUGUUCAUCCAAGCCAGUACCCACCGUCUACAUUCCAUCUUCGUUUUGACUUGUGUAAAAUGAUAACACAGAUGCAACGAUAAAUAUAGCUACGUCAUUCCGUGGUUCAUGUUUUUUAUGCACAAACCUGUGUUUAGGACGAACAGUUUUGAUUUUCUAAGCUCCCUGACGUUGGAGUUGAUUGUUUACCACAAAGAGUGUCCUGUGCGCGAACAGAGAGAGAUCCGUUUUCUCAUUUUCCACAGAGAGGGAUCCGAUAUGCAUAUACACCGUGUUAUUAUUUAUUUAAAGUGCACAGUGUACUUUGAAGCAAACUGAUUUUAUUUAAUACUGUAAGAAGAAACACAGAUCUGAACUUGAAAACUUGUGAUUUAUUCGAAAUAUGCAUGAAAAGGGGGUUAAGGUGAAUUUCACAUAAUUCAAUCAGGCCAUUUUUUUCUUUCAAUACAUUGCGACCUAUUCAGGAGUAUUUUAGUAAGAAAGUACGGGAACCCACCUAUAAGCAAGUCUUCUCUUGUUCUCGAUUUCCAGUGUUCACUGCAAAAUGUACUGAACAUUUAAGUUUCUCUAUUUAAGGUAGUAUGCGCCCUUUCUAGAGAUUUUUAAAACAUCUUCGGAUUCUACUCAAAUCUGGAUUAAAUACAUGUCACACAACUGCCGUUGCGAAAAUAUAGUUUUUAUUUUAUUUUGACGUCGGUAACAUAGCAGCAUAAUGACGUCAAAGCGCAAUCUGCCGGCUCUUAAUGAAAUCGGGGUGUUUCUGUGUUUUUUCGUUGUAUCUUUUUUAUUAGUGCCUCAAAAUUUAAAAUUCAAACUACACUGUAAUCGCGAAGAAAAUAUUUAUGAAAACAUUACUAAUAUUUGUCGUUAAUUCUCCGAGUGUGUGUAAAUCAGCAUAAAUGCAACGUCAAAACGUUAUAAACGUAUCUGUUUUUAACACACUGUUGCAUCUUUGAUUGCGUAUAACGAAAAAACGGCGCGGUAAUUUUUUUUUAGAAAUUUGCUAUGAAUUCCUCUUUCAUUUCUGCACUAAAUGGAUUAAUAAAAAACAUACCUUUUCGAUUUAGAUUUUUCAGCAUUCAGCUCGAUAUGAAACGCGAUGCAUUUGUUUGUGUAACGUCAAAUAUUUAUCAUGUCACCUUGCAGUGAUUCAUAUCAGUUUAAUUUCUUAAAAUUUCGAUAUCCAAACACCAAAACAAAUGUUUAAAAUGAAAACUUAUAAAAACUGUUCAAUUGUGUGUUGGGAAUAAACCAAUGAAAACAACACACAUACACUUCAAUUUAAGGAUAUUUCAUUGUCGUUAUAAUAUUAAAUGAACAAAACAACAGCAAUUAUCUACUACAACCAGCCGUCCAGUUGUUCAUUUAGUUUAGUUGUAAUUCUUUUUUUCACUACUAAAAUAUGUUUGUUACCAAUGACAAUUUCGACAACGGUCUUUUGUCUUCCUCAAAUGUAUCAUACUACGAAUAUCGGCUAUCUUCGGCCUUGUCUGCAGUUUCCG
rnacentral:misc_RNA from 1 species